CUCCAAAGGGAGACACCAAGGAAGCUCCCUGAUCAGAUGCCCUACCCUGACUCUAUCUCUGAGGCUACACCCAGCCACCUCCAUAGAUAAAGCAGCAGGGAAGGCCCGCAGCUUCUAUUUCUGCCUCCUGGACCAGUGGCUGGUUCGAUGGACUGUCAGAUGGCGUGUGAAUGGUGCUUUGAGACGGCGUGGAGAGCUGAGAGAGCACUCAUCACGACACCCUUCACCACAAAGAGACAGCUCUCAUGCGGGGAUGCCGGGUGUUGUUAUUGUACAGAGAAGCCUCCCUGACCUUGAAAUCGACGAGCCGAACUGAUUGCUCAGACAAAGUAAUGAAACCUGACUCAUACUGUUGUCAUUCAGCCUCUGACAACGUGUACAUUGUACCUGAGUAACAUCACAUUCCUGUUGAAUAACGCUUUGAUAGACAGCCAUGAAUCACUGUAUUGACGAGUGGAGGUAGUAAAAUUUGAAUGUUUACUUUGUGGACCAUCAUAUCUGAGAUGUUUCUCCCCUGGUGACUGUAACAUAUAAAAAGUAUCUCUUAGGAAACACAAAGCAGCCACCGGAGAGAGGCCAUCUCGUUAAUAAAGAGAA